rnacentral:rRNA from 1 species
UACGAAGGGGGCUAGCGUUGCUCGGAAUUACUGGGCGUAAAGCGCACGUAGGCGGCUUUCUAAGUCGGGGGUGAAAUCCUGGAGCUCAACUCCAGAACUGCCUUCGAUACUGGAGAGCUUGAGUCCGGGAGAGGUGAGUGGAACUGCGAGUGUAGAGGUGAAAUUCGUAGAUAUUCGCAAGAACACCAGUGGCGAAGGCGGCUCACUGGCCCGGUACUGACGCUGAUGCGCGAAAGCUAGGGGAGCAAACAGG